rnacentral:rRNA from 1 species
GAUGAACGCUGGCGGCGUGCCUAAUACAUGCAAGUCGAGCGAACGGACGAGAAGCUUGCUUCUCUGAUGUUAGCGGCGGACGGGUGAGUAACACGUGGAUAACCUACCUAUAAGACUGGGAUAACUUCGGGAAACCGGAGCUAAUACCGGAUAAUAUUUUGAACCGCAUGGUUCAAAAGUGAAAGACGGUCUUGCUGUCACUUAUAGAUGGAUCCGCGCUGCAUUAGCUAGUUGGUAAGGUAACGGCUUACCAAGGCAACGAUGCAUAGCCGACCUGAGAGGGUGAUCGGCCACACUGGAACUGAGACACGGUCCAGACUCCUACGGGAGGCAGCAGUAGGGAAUCUUCCGCAAUGGGCGAAAGCCUGACGGAGCAACGCCGCGGGAGUGAUGAAGGUCUUCGGAUCGUAAAACUCUGUUAUUAGGGAAGAACAGAUGUGUAAGUAACUGUGCACAUCUUGACGGUACCUAAUCAGAAAGCCACGGCUAACUACGU